UUUGAUAUUAGCAGGAACCUUACUAAGUUUAUGUUUUCUUUAAAUUGUAGAUCCUAUGGAACAAAGAAGCAGAUAAUGAUCACAGAAGUGCAACAAAGAGCACCAGGACCUGAUCAUCAAAUGUUAUGGUGUAGAUCUAAUCAAGAACAGGACACCUAAGUUGAACUCUGGCAAUGUUGUCCCUUGCAGAAGGUUUGAUACCCAGGCUUUUUUUGUACAAGUCCCUAGUCCACCCUCAUCUUGAGAACUGUUCCUGUGUCUGGGAUCCCUACAACAUCUCAGAUGUCUACUUCACAAUGGGGACCACAAGUGAACCAGCAGUUUGACUGAGAUGAUCAGCACCUUUAGUUGCCUACUAUAUCUACAACUACAAGGCACUCUGCAAGAAGACUGGGAAUGGUGCACAAGAUAGUCAAUGGUCUCUCCGCUCUCCCUUGAAAAUUUUCCCACUGCACUAGCUACUUGCGCCCUCUAUAAUAGCAAACAAUGCCUAAUCGGUGCCUGUUGGUCCCCCAUGAUCCUUUUUUUCUUAUAUUAAUUGAGAGCUGAUUUGAUGAGAUAACCACCUGUAAGUGACCUUGCAGGGUGGUCUAAUCCCCCAGACCAAACUAGUACAGACAGGCUUUAACAAAUCACGAGCAGGAAGUACCAUGACAUGACCCUCCAGUUGCACCAAGCCAGAAGCGACAUAGACAAGUUUGUAUUUGCCCAACACUCUGUCCCAAAGUUAAUGGAACUUACUUCCAGCAAAUAUAGUGCAUGCUGACAGUCCAGAGAACUGCCAGGGACUACUUUUGAGGCAUCUACUCUCCUUGUCCCACUUAGAAACAAUCUAUCUUCCUCACACCACUUGUAAUCUUUAGUAUUAAUUCAUCUUCGUGAUAGGCUACAACGCCUUUUGAAGAUUACCAGAAGAAGAAGAAGAUAUAUCGAGGAUCAUGAAAGUAAUCAUUUGUUCUUUUAAAUGCGUGUACAUGAAACAUAGUUUUUUUAUAUUUAAUCUUAAGUCAAGUUCUGACAAAUAUAUUAGGGAUGCUGAACUGGAUAGUAAAUUGAAGGGGG